rnacentral:rRNA from 1 species
AGAGUUUGAUCAUGGCUCAGAUUGAACGCUGGCGGCAGGCCUAACACAUGCAAGUCGAACGGUAACAGGAAGCAGCUUGCUGCUUCGCUGACGAGUGGCGGACGGGUGAGUAAUGUCUGGGAAACUGCCUGAUGGAGGGGGAUAACUACUGGAAACGGUGGCUAAUACCGCAUAACGUCGCAAGACCAAAGAGGGGGACCUUCGGGCCUCUUGCCAUCAGAUGUGCCCAGAUGGGAUUAGCUAGUUGGUGAGGUAACGGCUCACCAAGGCGACGAUCCCUAGCUGGUCUGAGAGGAUGACCAGCCACACUGGAACUGAGACACGGUCCAGACUCCUACGGGAGGCAGCAGUGGGGAAUAUUGCACAAUGGGCGCAAGCCUGAUGCAGCCAUGCCGCGUGUAUGAAGAAGGCCUUCGGGUUGUAAAGUACUUUCAGCGGGGAGGAAGGUGUUGUGGUUAAUAACCACAGCAAUUGACGUUACCCGCAGAAGAAGCACCGGCUAACUCCGUGCCAGCAGCCGCGGUAAUACGGAGGGUGCAAGUGUUAAUCGGAAUUACUGGGCGUAAAGCGCACGCAGGCGGUCUGUCAAGUCGGAUGUGAAAUCCCCGGGCUCAACCUGGGAACUGCAUUCGAAACUGGCAGGCUUGAGUCUUGUAGAGGGGGGUAGAAUUCCAGGUGUAGCGGUGAAAUGCGUAGAGAUCUGGAGGAAUACCGGUGGCGAAGGCGGCCCCCUGGACAAAGACUGACGCUCAGGUGCGAAAGCGUGGGGAGCAAACAGGAUUAGAUACCCUGGUAGUCCACGCCGUAAACGAUGUCUACUUGGAGGUUGUGCCCUUGAGGCGUGGCUUCCGGAGCUAACGCGUUAAGUAGACCGCCUGGGGAGUACGGCCGCAAGGUUAAAACUCAAAUGAAUUGACGGGGGCCCGCACAAGCGGUGGAGCAUGUGGUUUAAUUCGAUGCAACGCGAAGAACCUUACCUGGUCUUGACAUCCACGGAAGUUUUCAGAGAUGAGAAUGUGCCUUCGGGAACCGUGAGACAGGUGCUGCAUGGCUGUCGUCAGCUCGUGUUGUGAAAUGUUGGGUUAAGUCCCGCAACGAGCGCAACCCUUAUCCUUUGUUGCCAGCGAUUAGGUCGGGAACUCAAAGGAGACUGCCAGUGAUAAACUGGAGGAAGGUGGGGAUGACGUCAAGUCAUCAUGGCCCUUACGACCAGGGCUACACACGUGCUACAAUGGCGCAUACAAAGAGAAGCGACCUCGCGAGAGCAAGCGGACCUCAUAAAGUGCGUCGUAGUCCGGAUUGGAGUCUGCAACUCGACUCCAUGAAGUCGGAAUCGCUAGUAAUCGUGGAUCAGAAUGCCACGGUGAAUACGUUCCCGGGCCUUGUACACACCGCCCGUCACACCAUGGGAGUGGGUUGCAAAAGAAGUAGGUAGCUUAACCUUCGGGAGGGCGCUUACCACUUUGUGAUUCAUGACUGGGGUGAAGUCGUAACAAGGUAACCGUAGGGGAACCUGCGGUUG